rnacentral:rRNA from 1 species
CCAGACUCCUACGGGAGGCAGCAGUGGGGAAUAUUGGACAAUGGGGGGAACCCUGAUCCAGCGACGCCGCGUGAGUGAAGAAGUAUUUCGGUAUGUAAAGCUCUAUCAGCAGGGAAGAAAAUGACGGUACCUGACUAAGAAGCCCCGGCUAACUACGUGCCAGCAGCCGCGGUAAUACGUAGGGGGCAAGCGUUAUCCGGAUUUACUGGGUGUAAAGGGAGCGCAGACGGCGAAGCAAGUCUGAAGUGAAAUACAUGGGCUCAACCCAUGAAUUGCUUUGGAAACUGUUUGGCUUGAGUGUCGGAGGGGUAAGCGGAAUUCCUAGUGUAGCGGUGAAAUGCGUAGAUAUUAGGAGGAACACCGGAGGCGAAGGCGGCUUACUGGACGACAACUGACGUUGAGGCUCGAAGGCGUGGGGAGCAAACAGGAUUAGAUACCCUGGUAGUCCACGCAGUAAACGAUGAAUACUUGGUGUCGGGGAGGUAAACUUUUCGGUGCCGCAAGCAAACGCAUUAAGUAUUCCACCUGGGGAGUACGUUCGCAAGAAUGAAACUCAAAGGAAUUGACGGGGGCCCGCACAAG